rnacentral:rRNA from 1 species
AUUGAACGCUGGCGGCAUGCCUUACACAUGCAAGUCGAACGGCAGCACGGGAGCAAUCCUGGUGGCGAGUGGCGAACGGGUGAGUAAUAUAUCGGAACGUGCCCAGUCGUGGGGAUAACGUAGCGAAAGCUACGCUAAUACCGCAUACUAUCUAUGGAUGAAAGCGGGGGAUCGCAAGACCUCGCGCGAUUGGAGCGGCCGAUAUCAGAUUAGGUAGUUGGUGAGGUAAAGGGCUCACCAAGCCGACGAUCUGUAGCUGGUCUGAGAGGACGACCAGCCACACUGGGACUGAGACACGGCCCAGACUCCUACGGGAGGCAGCAGUGGGGAAUUUUUGGACAAUGGGCGCAAGCCUGAUCCAGCAAUGCCGCGUGCAGGAUGAAGGCC